GAUGAACGCUGGCGGCGUGCCUAAUACAUGCAAGUCGAGCGAACAGACGAGGAGCUUGCUCCUCUGACGUUAGCGGCGGACGGGUGAGUAACACGUGGACAACCUACCUAUAAGACUGGGAUAACUUCGGGAAACCGGAGCUAAUACCGGAUAAUAUAUUGAACCGCAUGGUUCAAUAGUGAAAGACGGUUUUGCUGUCACUUAUAGAUGGAUCCGCGCCGCAUUAGCUAGUUGGUAAGGUAACGGCUUACCAAGGCAACGAUGCGUAGCCGACCUGAGAGGGUGAUCGGCCACACUGGAACUGAGACACGGUCCAGACUCCUACGGGAGGCAGCAGUAGGGAAUCUUCCGCAAUGGGCGAAAGCCUGACGGAGCAACGCCGCGUGAGUGAUGAGGGUCUUCGGAUCGUAAAACUCUGUUAUUAGGGAAGAACAAAUGUGUAAGUAACUAUGCACGUCUUGACGGUACCUAAUCAGAAAGCCACGGCUAACUACGUG
rnacentral:rRNA from 1 species